UCAGGGAUCUUGCACAAUGGGCGAAAGCCUGAUGCAGCGACGCCGCGUGAGUGAAGACGGCCUUCGGGUUGUAAAGCUCUGUUUACGGGGAAGAGACGAGACGGUACCCGUAGAGGAAGCCCCGGCUAACUACGUGCCAGCAGCCGCGGUAAGACGUAGGGGGCGAGCGUUGUCCGAAGUGACUGGGCGUAAAGCGCGCGUAGGCGGCCCGUUAAGGGGGGGGUGAAAGGCUCCGGCUCAACCGGAGGAGGGCCUCUCCGACUGGCGGGCUUGAGGGCAGGAGAGGGGAGUGGAAUUCCUGGUGGAGCGGUGAAAUGCGUAGAGAUCAGGAAGAACACCCGUGGCGAAGGCGGCUCUCUGGUCUGUGCCUGACGCUGAGGUGCGAAGGCGUGGGGAGCGAACGGG
rnacentral:rRNA from 1 species